rnacentral:lncRNA from 1 species
UAAAAUGGGCUGACACUGAAAGAACCUUGCAGAAUCUCAGCAACGUCACAGUGGACAUUGUUAGCACAGCCAGCGGGCUCCUGCUGGGCUGAGUUUGUGGGUAACCCAAGCCUCGGCAGGUACAGUUCCUCCCUCAGGGCCCAGGACACAGAGAGCAUACAAUAGACAUUAGCUGCUGUGGUCUCUUGAUUUCAAGCCCAGUGCAGAUGCAUCUGACUUAUGAAACUUCAGUGACACCUGCUCUGUGCCAGACACCGAAGAUGGAGCAGUGAACAGCGCUGACCCAGCCUGUCCUCCUGUUGCCUGCAGGCCAGAAGCAAGGUCUCGCUGUGUUACCCGGGCUGGAGUGCAGUGGCUACUUACAGACAUGAUCAUAGCAUACUGCAGCCUCGAACUCCUGGACUAAAGCAGUUCUCCUGCCUCAGCCUCCAGAGCAGCUGGGACUGCAGACAUGCACCACAGAGCCCAGCCUGAGUCAUUUUGAUUCUGUAACUGGUGUCCUCUCGGCGGGCUGGCUCACACCCUCCACCACCAGCUGGAGAUGGAAGGAGGAUGCUCACUGUUCAUUCCUCAUGCAGGCCAUCGAUGGAAAUGUCAGACAGUGCGAGUCCACACCUGAACAGUUCUGGGGUCCGCUCUGGGACUGACACUGGCAGAUCCAUCGAUGCUGUUCCAUUGUUUGCUGACUUGCAUCGUUUCUAUGAGAAGUCUGCAGUCUUUUGCAGCAUUGUUUUCCUAUGUAUGCUUGUCUCCUCCCACCCCACUCACCCCAGCUGCUUUCCACAUUCUCUCUCUUUAAUUUUCAGCAGUCUGCCCAUGAUGUGCCUAAA